GCGUGCAAGGAGGAGUUUUGGGAGGCCACUCAAAGAUGUCAAAUCGGGGAUUCCAAACACUGUGCGCUGUGCUUCUGAGCGCUGCGUUGGCUUCCAUCGCCCCGGUACGCUGAAGGAAUAAGCGUGGCUUACAGUGGUAGUUCCGGAGGUCCGCGUACCCAGUCUUGGUACUGGCCGAGCUCCAGUCUGAACGGAAGCCCUUCAGAGCAACGUGGCAUUAGGACUCAUGGCAUCAUAGAAUGGCCUGGGUUGAAAAGGCCCACCACGAUCACCUAGUUCCAACCCCCUGCUAUGUGCAGGGUCGCCAACCGCCAGCCCAGGCUGCCCAGAGCCACAUCCAGCCGCAUCCCCUGAAUGCCUCCAGGGACGGGGCAUCCACAACCUCCUUGGGCACCCUGCUCCAGUGCGUCACCACCCUCGGGGUGAAAAACUUCUUCCUCCUCAUAUCUAACCUAAACCUCCCCUGCCUCAGUUGAAAACCAUUCCCCCUUGUCCUAUCGCUACCCAUCCUCGUAAGCAGCCGUUCCCCGUCCUGUUUAUACGCUCCCUUCAAGUAUUGGAAGGCCACAGUGAGGUCCCCCCGGAGCCUUCUCUCCUGCGAGCUCAACAGGCCCAGUUCCCUCAACCUUUCUUCAUAGGAGAGGUGCUCCAGCCCUCUGCUCAUCCUAGUGGUCCUGCUCUGGACCCGUUCCACGAUCGCUUCUUGUGCUGGGGGCCCCAGGCCUGGGCGCAGUACUGCGGAUGGGGCCUCGCAAGAGCCGAGUAGAGGGGGACAAUCACCUCCCUCUCCCUGCUGGCCACCCCUUUCUUAGUGCAGCCCAGAGCACCGUUGGCCUUCCGGGCUGCAGGCGCGCACUGCUGGCUCACGUCCAGCUUCUCGUCCACCAGGACCCCCGGGUCCUUCUCCGCAGGGCUGCUCUCAAGGAGCUCUUCCCCCACUCUGAAGCGGGCAUUCUUUUCUUAUGGCGCUGACGCAUGGGGGAUCGCUCCGCCCAACUGCGCGCAAAAGAGCUUCAGCUGAUGCGUGUCUCUUGUGUCGUGCAUGUCAAGGUUUUCCCAGACGGCACGCACGUACUCAGUACUUUCCCUGACAUCACUAACGUAGGGUUCUGCGUCCUUGCACGUGCUCGGUCUUUCUGUGGUGGCGGUCCUAAUCGGUGCCUCCGACCUUCGAUGGUCUUCCACGAUCGCUCUCCUCCGCAUUGGUGAGCACCAGGUCUAGUAAUGCUUCGCCUCUGGCCGAUCUGUCCGAUACCCGGAGCAGGAUGUUAUCAUCAACAGGCUGCAGCAGUCUCCUGGAUUGCUUGCAGCUCACCUUGCUCUUUUCCCUGCAUAUAGCUGGGUGGUUGAAAUCCUCCUUCCGGAGGAGAGCUUGGAGCAUGACGGCCCUUGUAGCUGAAGCCAGGCGGCCUCAUCAGCGGGCCGGGGUAGCGCUCUUCACCUCUGUCAGUACGGCGGUGGACGCACCGGCGAGGGCCGAGACCUGUGCCCCUUCGGGGGAAUCCCCGGGGGCGUCUGGUGCAUCCACUCGGGCAGAUAUGGCAAGAAAGCGAAAAUCUACCUGAUGGCGCUGGAAGGGCGGCACUGCCCGCGGCCGGCCUCCCUUUGCUAUUUGCUUCGUUUCUUCUUCGCUUCAGCACGCGGGGCAGACAUAAGGAAUGCAAAUGACUGAUAAAGCAAGCAUCAGCCGUUUCCAACGUUAGAAAUGUUGUUAGAAAGAAAGGCUUCAGGAAGCGGUGGCGCAUUCUCCCGUGGGCAGCGGUGAGGACAAAGGAGUGACAAGCAAGUAUACAUAAAGGUACAUUUUAUUAACGACUUACUCCUAUCGCUGGCAUCCAACAGUAAAAUGGGCAAAAGCCCAACCCGAGGCACGAGGCAGGGAAAUGGAAUCAAAGGGAAACCGGCAGAUGGUCGCUCUCUCUUCCCCUCCCCUUCCGUUCCAGGAAAGGAAACCAGGCCUUCCAGGCUUUGCUGUUUCACUCCACGAUGAGAGGGGUUGUGUAGAGGGAAUGCCGGAUUCCAAACGUGGAUGCAGGCGCCUGGGGCUUGAUCAGCGUCACCUGGAAGGGCGAAAAGGAAAGGCAGUCUGCGUUAAGCAAAGUUGCAGCAGGCUUGGAAGCCCCUGUGGCACAGGGGGAGCAGCCCAGGUUCGGAUGCUAACGCGGAAAAGAGGAGCGGCAGAGCUCACCUUGGCAAGGUCUUCGUCAAACCGACCUCGCUGGCUCCUUCCCCUCACAGAGUAGCAGGGGCUGGCCGAUGUGUAGACUGUGUUGGGCCCCAUCAGCCUGGGCAGCGUGUAGGUGCCAGGACCUGCAGGAGGAGCAGCAGAGAGCGUGUGCGCGAGGGGCUGGAGGAGACGGAAGCAGCAGAGAGGGGCAGCCUGCCCAGCCUGCUGGUGGGAGCAGGAGGGAGGUCUCGCCCCUCUGCCAGUUCCUCCCUCUACUCUGGCACUGGGCCAGCGCCAGCAGCUCCGAGCCUGAGCAGCCGCAGCCGCUGCGGGCCCAGAGGUGUUGGUCGUGCAAGAAAGCUUGCGGCCCCAGCGCCGCGUCCUGCCGCGCAGGCUGUGCAGUAGGCCCGCUGCUGGUGCUGAGCAGCAGCCCGUCCCUGCGGGAUGCUCAGGCUGAAGGGUCUGCCUUUGCCAGGGUCAGCGUACCUGGAGGGUGGUCUGUCCGGAGGGGCUCCCGCCGGAAGGCCAUGGACUGCACCGGUGGGCACUUGAAGACGUGCCUGUUGGCUGCCUCGGUGCGGUAGUCACCUGGGGCGGAAGAGAAGAGGAAGAAAGCCGUGAAGCGCCGGUCUUCUUCUUCUGCAACCGCACAGGCACUGUCCCGAGGAAAGGGUCUUCUCAAGAGCUGCAGAAUUGCCGCUGGGGGACACAGGCAGCACGCGGGGACGCUCUUCUGUGCCCCGCCGCUAUGCCCUGCCUUGCUGUCCCUCCCGUCAGCCCCCUGCCGCUUGUUCUUUUUGGACACGGGGUCCUUGUGCCCUCGGCCCGUGGCCCUGGGCAGCUGUCCUUCUCCGAGGGCGUUUAUCGCUGCUCAGAGCGGUUUGCGUUCUCUCAAAAAAGACCUACAGCUCCAUCAGGGCGCGAGCUGGCCCCGGGCAAACGCGCCGCCCGCUCGUCUUGUCUGGGUGAAGUGCUGCACAAGUGGUACUCACUUGGUCCGGGAGUGACGGUGGUCUUCGUCGCGGGUCGUCCCCGGAGCUGGGCGCCCGGAGCCACGUACUUCCCGUUCCUGGUGAUGGCGGGCUCCACAAAGUAGCAGGGACCUGGCCCGCAGCUCCCUGCCGCAGGCGGUUUGGUCCCUCUAAACGUGUAGGCGGGGGCACGGGCUUUGGUGGGGCUGUGGCCCACAUAACCUAGGAGGAAAAGCAGAAGAGAGCACACCCCUGUGCAGCUGCACGUCUCAAGCUCCGUUGGAACAGGCGCAGUUAGGCGCCGGGCCCUGGCCCCGACAUUCCCUUCCCGCGUGACUUCUUCCUCCAAGAGCCCUGGAGGCGAGCUGUGCCGGGCCUCGGAGCGCACAAGAGUCAGUCCCUGAGUGCAAACGGCUGCGCGAGUGCCUUGCAAAGUCACCGCAAAAAGACAGCGGAGUUUUGGCCAGCACGCUGCCUGUACCCGCACCACGCGUGCAGGCACUCCACAGCGAGAGCCCCCUAAGGGUCAAUUGUUCUGCAAGACCCCGUAACGCCUCUCUACAGCUGCAAAGCUGAGUCUGCGCUGGCCAGAAGCGGGCCCCUUUUUCCCCGGGCCACAAGGAGCAGCGCCAGCGGCACCGGCCUUCCUCGGCCAGGCCUGGCUCGCGGCUGCGCCAGGGAGCCAGGAGGCUCUGACAGAACGGGGAAAGGCUCGGGAGCUGCUCUGCCCCGCCAUGUCCCCGGUGCGCCUCACGCCCUGGGGAUGGUGGCUGUACCUGUUGUCCCCGGGAUGGAGUACUGGGGCCCGGGGCUGGGGAACUGGGCCGAGAUGAGGCCGCGUGGGCGAUGAGGUCUCCAGGUCCCCACCCAGGCUCCGUCCAUGCUGGCAGGCAUGUGCCUCCAAACCUAAAGGCAAGAACAGAGGAGUUACUGACGGGCUGCCCCAACAGAGGCCGCAGGUGAGCUUUGCUUCCCGCCCCCCGCGUCUCCUCUGCUCAGCCGCAAGCUGUCCGCCACGUGGCUUGCAGCUCCUGAGCCGGAAGGGCCGGCAGCAGUUUCUCCCGCUCACUGCCAGUCCUGCCAGUCUCGUGCUGCAUGCCCCUCGCGCACACCGGAGCUCAGCCCGCACCCUGCAGCUGGGCUCUGCAGCCUGACGUGUGCAGGAGCUCUCCCUCACCUCUCUGAGCCUUGGAGGACGAGCGCGAUGAGGCUGAGCUAGUCUGCUGCUGGGGCUGCUCUCAGGCACAGGGCACGGCGAGCGGCUGCGGGCAGCACAGCUCACAAAUGAGGCGCCUGGAGCCAGCGGCCAGCUGUCCUUGGGGAGGGCCCGGCGUCGUCAUGGCAAUGCAUUGUGACAGCACACGGGCUCCGGGUGAUGUCAUCUGUGCUGUGACAUCUCCUGGCUGGCCUGGAGCCACGCCCGCCACGCCUUUUCGGCCUCGCACCCCAACCAGUACAAAGCCGUAGCGCACGCUGCCGACACCUGCAGAUGGACUGAGCUCUCACUUCUAGCCACGUGCCGCCCGGGGCUCCUGAGGCUCGGUCAGCGUCACCUGCAAGGGAGAGAUUACGUUACUUCGAACCUACUGGAACAUUUCUGAGAAUGACACUCUGUUCUUUGGAGCUCUGUGUGUAUAUAUGUAUAUAUAAAAAUAAAUAUACGAGAGCCCUAAAAGCACA